rnacentral:lncRNA from 1 species
GAAGGGGUCAUUAUAGAACUUGUUCAUUCCUCACAAGCAGUUUUCAUUUAUCGUGUGCCUACAGGGUUCAGUUUUAUUUCACCUAGUUUUUAACCUUAAAUCUUAACAACCCCUGGAAAUAACUACCUUCUCCAUGGACCAAAUGUAGAUUGAAGAGGCUAAGAACUUUCUCAUCAUUAGCACUGAGAAAUGACGGGUUGAGUUUGAAACCGAAACUGAUCCAACCUCUUGCUGCAAUGGUAGAACAUAAUUUCUGGAUGAAAAUAAAAGAAAACCUCACAGAAUUAUUCUCUUUUCCUUUGCUACCUCUUUCUCCUGGAAAGCAGCCCUAUCACAAGAGAAAAGUUAAUAUAAAACGCAAUGAUGAAUUCCCUAGUAGGAGGGAGAGCUAUAUAUGCUUUUAAGUAGCUGCACAGGCACGUACAAGGCACCAGCCUCCAUCACCCUGACACGGACAUUAUGUUCAAAGAGAAGAUAAGGGCUAACUAAUUAAUUUGGCAAUGGAUUAAGUUUUUGUUUCCCCAAUUAAACCUCCCAUUUUCCUACAUGUGUUUGUAAGCUGUAUUUUAGGAACAUUGUUCAUUUGAGAAUUUAGUAUUUCUGAGGAGAUCGAUCUUCCUAUGUAGAGUCCAUGUCUGAGCCACUUUGUGCCGGAAGAAUAACACUAACCUAACAGAUGGGUAGGGAAGGGACCUGGCCAACAGUUCCUGUUACAACCACUAUGACAGAGGCAUUUAAAAUCUUAUCCAGGCUACUCGGAGGUAAGCGUCUUGUAGCCCAAGCAACAGAGAAGACAUUGCCUUGUUGUUGAAGGGCUAAACUUAUCUCUAAGCUGAAUUCAGGAGAAGACUAAGUAGAUUGGCAUACAAUCUUAAGAAGAAACAGCUGUCCACCUGCCAUGACUUAGAAGAGACAGAAGAAGAGAGGCACACUGUCCAGUUAGAGAUGCCAGCAAAUUAAGGCCACCUAACUCCACUGAGCCCAGGAAACCUUGUCUCACCAAAUGUGGUACUGUCUUUCCAGAAAGCAUUUCUCCACCCCUGUAGGAUAGCUGCUGUUUGUUAACUUCUGGGUGAGAAAAACAGAAAACAUCUUAUAGAAUUUAGCUUUGAUGCCUAAACACUGUGUGUGUGUGUGUGUGUGUGUGUGUGUGUGUGUGUAUGUGUGUGUGUGUAACAGGGAUGGGGUGGAUCAAAACCAGCCACAGCAGAGCAUAUAAGGCUUUUUAAAGAUAGGUAAAUCAUUUUCUUUUUAAAUGAAAUUCGGUCUGACGGCAUGAAAUAUGAACAGUAAUUAAAUGCACAGUCUGUGGGCCUUCUACACUUUAAAGCGCUUUGUUAAAAGG